rnacentral:lncRNA from 1 species
AUUACAUAUGGAAGUUGUGUUACAAGACUAGUUCAGUCAGUGUUUCAAAGGAUUGGUCAGAGAACAUAGGUCUUACUGAAUGUGGUGACACACACUGUAAUCCCAAUGAUAAGGGGGACUGAGGCAGGAGGAUAACCAGCUCAAGACCAGCCUCAGCAAUUUAGUGAGGACUUAAGCAACUUGAGAGUCCCUGUGUCAAAAUAAAAAGGACUUCGGUGGUAAAGCACCUCAGGGUUCUAUCCCCACUACUAAAAAUAAAGGCCCCCAACCACCAGCUCUCCAGAAAAAAACAAGGAAUUGGGGGUAAAAGUGCAAGGGCCAAAACCUGAGACCUCUGGCAAAAGACAAGACUGGGCCAGUGCCAUGAAAACUGUUUCAAACUCAAGACUCUAUUCUUUGCCAUGUCCAUCUGCAGAGAAACUAUAGCUGAGAUGGAAACACAUUCUAGCACAGAAUUUGGAACUAAAGUGGUAGACAUUUGGGAGCUCUUAAUUAUUUGUGGGAUUUUGGGGUGAGAGGGGCAAUAGGGACACUGCUAAGGCCUUAUUUUCACAUGACCAUGUGCCCCACAUGGAAGUAGACAGAGGACUGCUACAAACACUGAACACUAGAUCCCCCUAGUUUGUGAUUAUUGUAGGCUGAAUGGUUAUGCUACCCCUACCCGUUUAUGUUAUGUUGAAAUCCUGAAUUCCCAAGGCACUGAGGCAUGGCAUUUGAGCUGUGAUCAGCUUGUGAUGGUGGAACCCUCAUGAAUGGGAAUUGAUGCCCCUAUAAGAGACUGCAGAGCUAUUUGCCAUGUGAGGAGGGUGAGGAGAAAGUUGGCUGUCUGCAACCCGGAAGAGUGUCUCACUGCGCCAGCACCUUGAUCUUGGGCUUCCUGUGUCUAGAACUGUGAGAAGCUGUUUUAUAAGCCACCCUGCUCAUGGCACCUCCUUGCAGCAGCUAAGACAGUUAUUAUUUCAUCUCUGCAUUACUUCCUAACAUUUCCAAUUCCUACAUUCCAUGAAAGUGCAAUCUGUGGCUACUGAAUCCACGUUGUUAGGACCUCCUAAAUCAGACAACUAUUUUUUUGGUACUGGGGAAUGAACCCAGAGAUACUUUACCACUGAGCUAAAUCCCAAGCCCCUUUUUUAUUUUAAGAAUGGCUAUGUUGGGCUGGGGGUAUAGCUUAGUUGGUAGAGUGCUUGCCUCACAUGCAAAAGGCCCUGGGUUUAACCCUAGCACCACAAUAAAUUUAAAAAAAAAAAAAAAAAGCUACAUUGUGGCCUCGCUUAGUUGCUGAAGCUGGCCUCAAACUUGUGAUUGUCCUGAUCCUCAGUUUCCUGAGCCACUGGGAUUGCAGGCAUUUGUCACCAUACCCAGUGUCAUUCAUUUCUGUCACCAUGCAAUGUUUGCCAUCACCCAGUAUUGUUCCCCAGCAAACUACAAGGCUUGCAGGGCAGGGCAGGACCUGUGCUUACGCUGUUUACAGCAUCUCCAGGCCUGCUUGAGUCUUAUUUUCUACAGCACAUCUCUUCUGCCACUGUAGUUUUCUGAGAUGGAGCAUUUGAAUUGGGUUAUGAUACAAUGACAUUUCAUCUCAAGCCAUGAAUGUCUACCUGUGUAAUCUCUCUUUUUUUUUUUUUUACCACCAAUAUGGUUUUAUUUUUGUCAUUGUCAACAUGUAC